rnacentral:rRNA from 1 species
AGCGAACGUUGGCGAUGCGUCUUAAGCAUGCAAGUCGAGCGAAUUUAUUUGGGUAACUGAAUACGUUAGCGGCGAACUGGUGAGUAACACGUAGGUAAUCUACCGUAAAGAGGGGGAUAACUCCUGGAAACAGGGGCUAAUACCGCAUAUACUCUUGCCUCAUAAGAGGCGUAGAGGAAAAGAAUUUCUACUUUACGAUGAGCCUGCGGCCCAUUAGCUAGUUGGUAGGGUAAUAGCCUACCAAGGCAACGAUGGGUAGCCGACCUGAGAGGGUGACCGGCCACAUUGGGACUGAGAUACGGCCCAGACUCCUACGGGAGGCAGCAGCUGAGAAUCUUCCACAAUGGACGAAAGUCUGAUGGAGCGACAUCGCGUAAAGGAUGAAGGCCUUAGGGUUGUAAACUUUAGAAAUUACCGAAGAAUGAAUGACAGUAGGUAAUGUAAGCCUCCGGCUAGCUACGCGCCAGCAGCCGCGGUAAUAC